AACGCAUCUUGCGCUCUUGGGUAUUCCUAGGAGCAUGUCUGUUUGAGUGUCGUGAAAAUCUUCAAAACCCCCUUUUCGUUGCAAAACGUAGAGCGUUUGGGCUUUGGAUUAUGACUGUUUGUGCCGCUUGCUUUGCAGGAUCAGGCUCGGUCGAAAUAUAAGAGCAAACUGACGUGAUGGCCCGUAAUGCCUUCUCUUUGUUUGACUCGGCGUGAUAAUUAUCUUCGUCGAGUCGUUAAAGCGAUAUUAGGCUGUGGCUUUGCGUACAGGGCUUAUAAUACUUUAAAUUAUUUGAUUAGACCUCAAAUCAGGCAGGACUACCCGCUGAACUUAA
rnacentral:misc_RNA from 1 species